GGUUCCAUAGUGUAGCAGUUAGCACAUUUGCUUUACACACAGAAGGUCCUGGGUUUGUGCCCCAGUGGAGCCA
rfam:Pteropus alecto contig45471, whole genome shotgun sequence.